rnacentral:miRNA from 1 species
GCUCCUUUAAAGCAAGCAGGUUCUGCUUCUCUCCCUCCUCCCCACUCAGCGGCUCUUCUCCCGCUUUGCUGGAAAUAGCAGGAAAGAUUUUCAGCUCGCUAAGGGGGGGGGAGGAGGGAGAGAAGCAGAGCCUGCUUGCUUUAAAGGAGCC